CAAUCUUCCUGGGUAGGGAAUCCCAGCUCGACCCAUGAACUCCGGUUUACCCCAUCCAAAGUCCGCCUCGUACAUUGGCAGUCGCAUCCAACUAAUCGCCAGCACCUCCGUCGGCUGAACAGGUGGUACACCUCUUGUUCCAUCUCUCACAUCUAAGAAAUCAACCACAGAUCUGACAUACUUGUCAUGAGCGAAUGACUUGGCUUCUUCAAUCUUGGUGGCCACACGGUUCAGAUCACAGGAGACCAUCUCCUUCACGGUCAUCGUAGAGGAGAGGUGGACUAUUGCGUUAGCGUUGAGGAGCGGCGAGAGUGGUGGAUUGACUAUGGCUUUGGAAUCACACCCAAUGAGGAGUCUCGUGGUUUGCUCAGGAGACAGCUUACGCGCUUUGGUGAUGCAUUUCCACGAGUGAGCCACCACCGCCGUGAAGGUCGUCGCCGCCAGAUUCUCUCCACUGGCUUUCGAUUUGAGCUUUUCGAUAUUAUCCUUGGAGAGACGGAGAGUUUUGCUUAUGGUCGGACUGAUCAUCG
rnacentral:lncRNA from 1 species